rnacentral:rRNA from 1 species
UACGUAGGGUGCAAGCGUUAAUCGGAAUUACUGGGCGUAAAGCGUGCGCAGGCGGCUUUGCAAGACAGAUGUGAAAUCCCCGGGCUCAACCUGGGAACUGCAUUUGUGACUGCAAGGCUGGAGUACGGCAGAGGGGGAUGGAAUUCCGCGUGUAGCAGUGAAAUGCGUAGAUAUGCGGAGGAACACCGAUGGCGAAGGCAAUCCCCUGGGCCUGUACUGACGCUCAUGCACGAAAGCGUGGGGAGCGAACAGG